CGGCUGCUGGGCCUGCGGGUAGCCGUAGCCCUGCGGCGGCUGCUGGGGCUGGCCGUACGGGUUCGGCUGCUGCGGC
rnacentral:tRNA from 1 species